AUUGAACGCUGGCGGAAUGCUUUACACAUGCAAGUCGAACGGCAGCACGGACUACGGUCUGGUGGCGAGUGGCGAACGGGUGAGUAAUGUAUCGGAACGUGCCCAGUCGUGGGGGAUAACGUAGUGAAAAUUACGCUAAUACCGCAUACGAUCUAUGGAUGAAAGCGGGGGAUCGCAAGACCUCGCGCGAUUGGAGCGGCCGAUAUCAGAUUAGGUAGUUGGUGGGGUAAAGGCCCACCAAGCCAACGAUCUGUAGCUGGUCUGAGAGGACGACCAGCCACACUGGAACUGAGACACGGUCCAGACUCCUACGGGAGGCAGCAGUGGGGAAUGUUGGACAAUGGGCGAAAGCCUGAUCCAGCCAUUCCGCGUGCAGGAUGAAGGCCCUCGGGUUGUAAACUGCUUUUGUACAGAACGAAAAGGUUUCUACUAAUACUAGGAGCUCAUGACGGUACUGUAAGAAUAAGCACCGGCUAACUACGUGCCAGCAGCCGCCGUAA
rnacentral:rRNA from 1 species